UGGUUUUCAAUACAAAUUAAAAGGUUUACUUUAGAGAAGAAAUAAAUUACUUUAAAAAAUUUUCUUUUCUUUUUCUAAAUUACAUAUCUUUUUUAACAUUUGUUUUUUACUAAAUUUUGAGUUCCAAAGCCUCUCUGUUCCUCCCUCCCAUUUACUCUUUGAGAAGUCAAGCAGUUUGAUAAAGAUUAUACAUGUGAAGCCAUCCAAAACAUACUUUCAUAUUAGCUAUUUUGCAAAAGAAAAAAUACCUAGAAGGAAUAAAGAAAAAAGAGUUUAAAAAUCUUCUUUGAUCUGCUGGGAGACUCAAAUGAUUCUUUCAUUGGAGAAGAAUAUCAUUUUUAUCAUAAGUCCUAUAGAAUUGUAUUCAAUCAUUAUAUUGCUCAGAGUAGCUGGCAUUCACAGCUGAUGUCCUUUAUAAUAUUGCUACUAUUGUAUACAAUAUUAUCCUGACUCAUCUCACUUGCUUUUGUUCAUGUAAAACUUCCCAGGUUCUUUUGAAACAGUUCUAUUCAUAAAUUCUCAUAGCACAAUGGUAUCCUAUGACAACCAUAUACCACAACUUGUUUGGUGAUUCACCAGAUGAUGGAUAUCAUUUCAAUUUCCAAUUAUUUGCCAACAGAAAAAAAGCUGUUUUAAAUGUUUGUUAUGCGUAUUAAGAUGAUCCAAAGAAUGGCAUAUGAUUCAGGAAAUUUCACAUCUGCUCUAAAGAAGACAAAAAGCUUUCUAUAGGACAGCUCUACAGGGAUGUCCCCCAAAAUUCCAAACUCAUCUUCAAGAACCAAAGUGGAGAAAAUAAUACCUCUUCAAUUUGAUAGACCUUCAAAUAUUUGAAAGUAGUUAUCAUUUUUCCAUAUCUUUAUUUUCCCAGUUAACAACACCAAUUCUCCAGAUAACAUGAUCUUAAGAGCUGCCAUCAACCUGGUUAUGUUACUCUAAAUGUUAUUAAUUUUACCAGUGUUUUCUCUUGCUACCUAAUUCCUCUCUAUAGUUCAGUGCUUAAUAGUAAACAUGAGACUUCUGAUAUAUUCUGACUA
rnacentral:lncRNA from 1 species